rnacentral:rRNA from 1 species
ACUCUACGGGAGGCAGCAGUGGGGAAUAUUGGACAAUGGGCGCAAGCCUGAUCCAGCCAUGCCGCGUGAGUGAUGAAGGCCCUAGGGUUGUAAAGCUCUUUCACCGGUGAAGAUAAUGACGGUAACCGGAGAAGAAGCCCCGGCUAACUUCGUGCCUGCAGCCGCGGUAAUACGAAGGGGGCUAGCGUUGUUCGGAUUUACUGGGCGUAAAGCGCACGUAGGCGGACUAUUAAGUCAGGGGUGAAAUCCCGGGGCUCAACCCCGGAACUGCCUUUGAUACUGGUAGUCUUGAGUUCGAGAGAGGUGAGUGGAAUUCCGAGUGUAGAGGUGAAAUUCGUAGAUAUUCGGAGGAACACCAGUGGCGAAGGCGGCUCACUGGCUCGAUACUGACGCUGAGGUGCGAAAGCGUGGGGAGCAAACAGGAUUAGAAACCCUAGUAGUCCCAUG